rnacentral:lncRNA from 1 species
AGUGGGUGAUCGAGAACGAGGAAGAGAGAAAGAGGCGAGAAAUUGUCUCCGUUCAAAUUUUGGAGUGUGAAUCUGGUGGCUGGGAUCCUUGACAGAAGGCUCUAGUUUACUGCACAAAACAAGGUAAGCUACUCGUCUAUUUUAUUUUCGUAAUCUGGUUCCAUGUGUCUGAAGAAUAAUGUUCUCGCUCUGGUUCAGACGUGGACUUGGAUUUGGUCUCGUAUGAAAUUUUAAUAUCAUGAGAACGUGCUAUCUCUUUUCGCCUGCUAUCGGGCAUAGUAGCGAAGUUUAUUUUGAAUAAUGUUAUGUUGGGAGUAGCGAACGUGUGUUCGGCUUGGCUGUGUGGCCGAGCAAUCGAAAAAAUGUACAAUAGGGCCACGUUUAGGCUUGUUCCGAGUUUGAGUUCCUAUUAACGUCGUUGUUUUGUAAUCAAGUUUAAAGACGGAUUUCAUACCAAGAUUUCAUUCCGUGGGCUUUGGCGGAUAAACUGUGCAACAUGUUUGAAGAUCCUUUCUUUAUUUUGCCUCCCUUGCUCCUCUUUGGUCGUUUUGAAUAGGCAAAUAUGUAGUGGAAUAUGUUUGGAAUCUGUUUUUGGCCCUAUCAACUGAGUUUAUGAACACAGUUAUAUUCUGAGCUUCCAUUGUUUUCAACGUGUGCAAAUUCCACCACAUAUUCAUCUCUUUUUCUCUUGUUUUGAUUUUCUUGUCGUGGUUAUGUGAUCAACUCAUAUUGUGCGCGUGAUGUUUAAAACUAAGUAUCACACAUGAAUACUUACAUAUGUGACCCAUUUUUUCUUUAUUCGCGCGUGACGACUCCCGAAAGUGAGUUCGAGUCCAAUUUUAUUUUGAAUACAUGGUUGUUAUCUUAAAAUUCAUGUUGUAACCAUUGUUCGCCCAGAGUCUGCAAAUGUAUGAAAGUCGCAUAAUGUGUUAAUAUGUGGAGAUCCAUGAAAUGUGUCUGUAUAUUCACUUUAUUGCUUUCAACAAAGUAGUCUCAUGUGCACGUGUCCAAUUAAAUCUUAGUUUGUCGUGCUUUUCAACUGAAUAUGGAGAGUAACUUAAAAUUCCACCUUCUCUCUUUUCCGAUAUGAUAACAAUACUGUACACUUAUUUUCUUCAAAACAUUUUUAGCAGGAGUCGGCUCUAGAAUUUAAACUCAUUAAUUUGACCCAUUGUGCGACCUUGAAGGAGUUGUCUUCCUAUUUGUUUAACAUACUUGAAGUAAUGAAUUAAAUGAGUUUUCCAUUUGAAUUUUGUUAUAAUUGUAUCUGUGAGAAGAAAGCUUACAUGGUAAUACUACGAUAACCAUUUUGAUAAGAACGGCUUAUUAGUAGGUAUCUGUGUAUUAGUUAAAUUAUCCUAUUACUUUAUAUAAAGAAAGAAGGUUGAAUAUCAUAUCCCAGUAAAAUUCAAUUCAUACACCGUGUUUAUGCUUAUAUAUUUAAUAUAUUAUUCACAUGGUCUUUUCCCUUUUGAACCUUUUAAAACUUAAGGAUUUACUUUUAUCACCACUAUUAGCCUUGGAAAAGCUUAAUUUUUAUUUACUUUUAUCACCACUAUUAGCCUUGGAAAAGCUUAAUUUUUAUGUGUUAUGUGUCAGGCUGUCAUUUUCUAAAGAAGCAUUUUCCUUAGAGCAUUUCUAUCACAGUUAUUUGUUUUAGAUACAAAUUACUAGUUUCUUGUUAGAGCCAUUAAUUUCCAAAAGUAGUCUGCACCACUAAUGUCCUAGUGACGUUCAUUUAUAUUCUUUAGUCAUAAUAUUUUUUAAUAUAUUUUUUAAUCGAUUCCUAACUUUACCACUUUUCUAUUUCAUGUGAACUCCAG